CAAAUUAUUAGCACACACUUCUUAGCUAUGCCUAAUAUAGGAAAAACUGCAUGCUAGGGGAGGCCUUAUUUCCCUCCUCCACUACACCAGAUUCACCUGCUUUUUAUGCUAAGCAGGGGAGGAGGCAGAGGCUUUUAAAGCAUAGCGUGAGAGGCAAUGAUGAGCCUCAACUGUGCUGAUCAGUGCCAGCUGGGGCCCUCGUGGGCCUCGUGGCUCCAUUUAGGCCCAGGCCCAGGGCCAGGCCCCCAGCUCUUGGUUUGGGCUGUGUUGUGGUAGCUCUUCUGGUGUUCUCACUCUUCUUUCUGAAUGUAGCUGAGACAUGUGCUAAAGGAUGAGCUGCAAAGAUGGAGUGGCAAACAGAUGCAGCAGUCUGCAUGUGGAGCCCAUCUGAUUUUUUGGGGGACUAUUACAUUUAAUCCCAGGACUAAGCUCUCUGAAGUGCUGACUGCAGGAGGCUGGUGUGGGUACUGAUCUCUGGACCUGCACCAUGGUGGAGUUGGUGCCAAAGGUGUCUGAUGGUGCGGGAGCUGACAUCUCCUUGGGACAAACUCCCCUGGGGACUCAAGGGUUGGAGCUGGCCCCUUCAUGGGUGGCCUGGAGGAAGAGGCUGAGAUGGGGAGGAAGCAACAGUGUCCAUGGCACCUUCUCUGCAGCAGCUACUGCUGGGAGGCAGUUGGAAACCCCAGCUCAGAGAUGGUCACCCGCUGUGUCCCAGCCUGCAGAUGCGGGCUGUCACUGCUGCAGUCCCGCAUGAAUCAGAACUAUACUUGCUCCUAGAUCGCAGGUGGAGUUUGGCAGCACUUAG
rnacentral:lncRNA from 1 species